GAUGAACGCUGGCGGCGUGCCUAAUACAUGCAAGUCGAGCGAACAGACGAGGAGCUUGCUCCUCUGACGUUAGCGGCGGACGGGUGAGUAACACGUGGAUAACCUACCUAUAAGACUGGGAUAACUUCGGGAAUCCGGAGCUAAUACCGGAUAAUAUAUUGAACCGCAUGGUUCAAUAGUGAAAGACGGUUUUGCUGUCACUUAUAGAUGGAUCCGCGCCGCAUUAGCUAGUUGGUAAGGUAACGGCUUACCAAGGCAACGAUGCGUAGCCGACCUGAGAGGGUGAUCGGCCACACUGGAACUGAGACACGGUCCAGACUCCUACGGGAGGCAGCAGUAGGGAAUCUUCCGCAAUGGGCGAAAGCUUGACGGAGCAACGCCGCGUGAGUGAUGAAGGUCUUCGGAUCGUAAAACGCUGUUAUUAGGGAAGAACAAAUGUGUAAGUAACUAUGCACGUCUUGACGGUACCUAAUCAGAAAGCCACGGCUAACUACGU
rnacentral:rRNA from 1 species